rnacentral:rRNA from 1 species
UGGGGAAUCUUGCGCAAUGGGCGAAAGCCUGACGCAGCGACGCCGCGUGGGGGAUGAAGGCCUUCGGGUUGUAAACCCCUUUCAGCAGGGACGAAGCGAAAGUGACGGUACCUGCAGAAGAAGCGCCGGCUAACUACGUGCCAGCAGCCGCGGUAACACGUAGGGCGCAAGCGUUGUCCGGAAUUAUUGGGCGUAAAGAGCUCGUAGGCGGACUGUUGCGUCCGCUGUGAAAAGCUGGGGCUUAACCCUGGCCUUGCAGUGGAUACGGGCAGACUAGAGGUAGGUAGGGGAGAAUGGAAUUCCCGGUGUAGCGGUGAAAUGCGCAGAUAUCGGGAGGAACACCGGUGGCGAAGGCGGUUCUCUGGGCCUUACCUGACGCUGAGGAGCGAAAGCGUGGGGAGCGAACA